GGGAGUGUAGCUCAGCUGGUAGCAGCAGCGGCCUUUUAAGCCGACGGUCGUGGGUUCGAUCCCCACCACUCCCA
rnacentral:tRNA from 1 species